GCCUAGCCCUAAACCUUGGUAAUAUAUCACAUACCCUACCCGCCCGGGAACUACGAGCACCAGCUUAAAACCCAAAGGACUUGGCGGUGCUUUAGACCCCCCUAGAGGAGCCUGUUCUAGAACCGAUAACCCCCGUUCAACCUCACCCUUCCUUGUUUAUCCCGCCUAUAUACCGCCGUCGUCAGCUUACCCUGUGAAGGCCUAAAAGUAAGCACAACUGGCACAACCCAAAACGUCAGGUCGAGGUGUAGCGCAUGGAGGGGGAAGAAAUGGGCUACAUUCCCUAUAUUAGGGAACACGAACGGCGCACUGAAACACGCGCCUGAAGGAGGAUUUAGUAGUAAGCGGAAAAUAGCGUGUUCCGCUGAAAUCGGCCCUGAAGCGCGC
rnacentral:rRNA from 1 species